AUCGUUUCUCUGUCACUACAAACUUUUCUUCAUGGUAAGAAUAGAGAACAUUAUUUAGGUGACACUGCAGAGAUGAAGUGCUCUCCGGGGUAUGUGACUGUGGUACUCUUAAUGCUUGGACAAACCCGUGGGGACUCAGUGACUCAGACGGAAGGCCAAGUGACCCUCUCAGAAAAUGCUUUCCUGACUAUGAAUUGUACUUUUUCAGCUUCACGGUACCCUGCCCUUUUCUGGUAUGUCCAGUAUCCAGGAGAAGGUCUAGAGCUCCUCCUGGAAGCCUUGAAGGACAAGGAGAAAGGAAGCAACAAAGGAUUUGAAGCCACCUACGACAGCAAAUUGAAAUCCUUCCACUUGGAGAAAGGCUCAGUGCAAACCUCAGAUUCAGCUGUGUACUACUGUGCCAUGUACGACACAGUGAUGGGGACUGCAGGGGGAGCUGAGCAGAAACUCUAAGCAGAACAGGGCCCUGGAAGCUGAGUGUCUUUGCCUGAUGCACUCUGGUUCCAGUACAAUCUGUUGUUUAUCCUUCAGUGUCUGGUUGAUACAAAAUCAUACAAACGACUGGAGCAUAGGAGCCGGAACACAUUCCCCAGCCCCAGGUGUUCCUUAGUGAGAUUGAAAACAGUUUGAUCCCAAGAGUUCCUCAGCCAGAGCUUAAUUUCAAGGUAGAUUCACAUAACAAUGAAGUGGUCUUGUGGUCAUCCUUGUAGUGAUCGUCCAGCCCCACAAGUUG